GGUCUGGGAGGCUGGGGAACUGGGGGCGCCUGCAGGGCGCAGAGAGGCGAAGGCACCGGUGUCAGGGAGAACGCAUCCGUUACCGCCCGCCUCCCGCAGGUCUGCGUCAAACUAGAUCCUGGCUUCUGGGUUCCUGACCUCGUUUGGCCUCAGAACCAUCUGUGCAACAUUGGGGCUGUCACUUCGCCUCCCUCAGCUGAAGAGUUCCCACUUGUGAGUGGGACUAAUAACGCCUGCCCUAUCUUUGCCUCUCCGAGGGCAGCAGUGCAGCCCGUGGGGCGGAGCCCGGGCCCAAAUUGGAGCCUCCGCCUUGCGCUUUCAGGAUAAACAUAGCUGUUUUGACCACACUUUAUCCCAAGGGAACGCCUUGAGGUCCCCUUGGGCACUCUCCCGUGUGUAACUCGCCCAUUAGCACCGCCUGGCUUGAAGCUUAGGGGUCUGGUUAUUCUCUUCUAGCCCGUGUAGAGGAUUUCUUUCUUCCUUUCUGCUUUUUUUUUGAGACAGGGUCUCACUCUGUCGCCCAGACUGGAGUGCUGUGGCACGAUCACGGCUCACCACAGCUUUGACCUCACGGACUAAGUGGUUCUCCCACCUCAGCCUCCAAGCAGCUGGGACUACAGGCGUGCACCACCACGCCCAGCUAAUUUUUUCUUUUUUCUUUUUUUUUUUUUUUUUGCGACGGAGUCUGGCUCUGUCGCCCAGGCUGGAGUGCAAUGGCGCGAUCUCGGCUCACUGCAAGCUCCGCCUCCUGGAUUGACGCCAUUCUCCUGCCUCAGCCUCCCGAGUAGCUGGGACUACAGGAGCCCGCCACCACGCCCGGCUAAUUUUUUUAUGUUUUUAGUAGAGAUGGGGUUUCACCGUGUUAGCCAGGAUGGUCUCGAUCUCCUGACCUGGUGAUCCACCCGCCUCGGCCUCCCAAAGUGCUGGGAUCACAGGCGUGAGCCACCGCGCCCGGCCAAUCUUUUCAUUUUUAAAAAAAUUUGUUUAUUUUGUAGAGACAGGGGUCUCACUGUGUUACCUAACCUGGUCUCCAACUCCUGGCCUCAGGCGAUCCUCCUGACUCGGCCUCCCAAAGUGCUGGGAUUACAGGCAUGAACCACCACACCUGGCCUGUAUAUCUUCUUUCUAACGCAAAAGUGACAUUUCUCUUUCAGAUGAACUCGGAACAAAAUGUCAUAAGUGGUGGCCACAGGUAGUGAAGAGCAGGGCAGGGAGUGUUGGCAGGGACCCAUGCUCUGGACACUUUAUACUUGCAGGCUUUGGUCAAUUGGGAGCCUAGGGCCUGAGUGUGGAUGAGGAGAGGUACUGCUACAUGCCAGUCCUAAGUGGGCACAGGGGUUGGCUGGGGAACGGGCCAGUUCUUGGAAGCAAGCUUCACUGCCCUCGGCCUGGGCGUCCUGUGCUCUUUUGGCUUCUCUGGGUAGGAAGGUGUCCCUCUUAUCUCUGCAAAGUUCAGAGUCCCACUGUCUGCUUUCAAGUAUAAAACCAGCACUUGGGGGUAUGACCCUGGACUGUAUGAGGGCCGCCCUUUCAGUAAUUCUCUCUCCAGGAGUGAGAACCUCCCCUUCUCAAUUUUAGACUAGAUGGGUCUGAGUGUGUUUACUGCAGUUAAUGGUUGAGCAGGAAGAUUAGAAAUAAGGACAUAGAGACAAACUAUUCUCUCGGUGUUAAACUCAUUUUAAACAAAGUGGAAAGUAAGGGAUUUAGUAGGGAAAUCCUUUCACCUUGGCAAAACGAUAGUAUACAACUGGCACAGCAUAAUCCUUGGUGGCUUGGCACAAGCAUUCCCUGUCCCCCAUCAAGCACAUAAUGUCCCUCAGUAAUUCCACUGCAUUUUUGUGCAGCGGCUGUGUGCUGGAGCUGUGGGGAACCCCUCGGUAAUCUCUUGUCUGCUUUUUAGGAGCCCCUAUCUCCUGGUCUUCUCUUACUUCCCAAGCUACCCUGCUUCUUUGAAAAGUCUUCAGGCUUGCCUACCUCUUCUCAGCUUGCUCUGCAUGCCUUGGGGAAGCUGCAUAAAGCAUGGAUCAUGAAGGAGGGGGCGCAGAGGAGAGGGAAAUGCAUGUUUGCACAAAUGGACCCUGAGCCCACCAGGCAGGCUCCAGAUGGGGGGGAAAAAAAAAAAAAAAACCCUUACAUUAUCACGUGACUUGCGCAAGAAAAAAGGUACCUGCAAAGGGCCAAGGGACCAGAGAGGAGAACUUGAGAGGUAUUCUGGAGGAGGCGACUUUUGAUAUGAGCUUUCUAGGUGAGUAAAGGGUAUUGCAGCUGAAGGGACUGGCUGGUAAGUGGCCAGCACAUAGGAAUACAGGCUGAGCUCAGGGAAGGGUGCACCCAGAGGUGGGGAGGAAGGUGGGAAGUGAAAAAGGAGGCUGGGCACGGUGGGUCAUGCCUGUAAUCCCAGCACUUUGGGUGGCCGAAGCUGGUGGAUCACUUGAGGUCAGGAGUUCGAGACCUGCCUGGCCAACAUGGUGAAAGCCCAUCUCUACUAAAAAUACAAAAAUUAGCCAGGUGUGGUGGUGUGUGUCUGUAGUCCCAGCUACUAAGGAGGCUGAGGUAUGAGAAUUGCUUGAACCCGGGAGGCGGAGAUUGCAGUGAGCCAAGAUAAUGCCACUGCACUACAGCCUGGGCGACAGAGUGAGAUCCUGUCUCAAAAAAAAUUUUUUUUAAAUAAUAAUAAAAAUAAAUAAAAAUAAAAGGAAGUGAAAAAGGAAAGGGUAAGGGGAGAGGGCCAGAAUGGAAGGGGAGCUGAAGACUGAGCAAGGCAAAGUUGGAGGCCAGUGCAGAAAGGGCUCAAACCAUUUGCAAGGAUGGUUCACAUCCCACUGGUCUGUCAGCUUGGAUUUAAAGCACUACCCAGCGUUAUUCAAAGCCACACAGGAGAACUGUAGGCAUCAGAAUGCCCUGGGGACAGGUCCAAAAUGCAGAUUCCUAAGCCCCACACUAACCCUAAAGAGUCACUCUAGGAUGAGGUCCAAGAAUUUGGGCUUCACCCCACCUCUCCUGUCCCCUGCCCUCACCACUGAGGACCUAAAGGAUAAUGAAAGGGGGAAAUCUGUGCCCUAAAUAAUCCCUUUUGGCAGUUACUUUCUGUUUUCAAAGUUCAAGUCUGUCCUCCGGGACUAACCUAGGAGAUGAGGGAUAAGGGAAUUAACAUUUAUGGAAAAUGGAAGAACAUACAUAGGCACCUGUGUUCACCUAAUAUUCCUUACCAGCCACCUGAAAGGUGGGUGCUGCCAUUAUCUCUAUUGUAUGGAUGAGAAAAUAGGCUUAAAAGAGGUUAAGUGGCCAGGUGCGGUGGCUCAUGCCUGUAAUCCCAGCACUUUGGGAGGCCGAGGUGGGUGGAUCAUGAGAUCAAGAGAUCCAGACCAUCCUGGCCAACAUGGUGAAACCCUGUCUCUACUAAAAUACAAAGAAUUAGCUGGGCGUGGUAGCACGCAUCUGUAGUCCCAGCUACUUGGGAGGCUGAAGCAGGAGAAUCGCUUGAACCCAGGAGGCAGAGGUUGCAGUGAACCGAGAUCACGCCACUGCACUCCAGCCUGGUGACAGAGCGAGACUUCAUCUCUUAAAAAAAAAAAAAAAAGAGGUUAAGUAACUUGCGGGGGGGCCACAGCCACAGAAGUAGUAAGUGCUAGAAGUAGGAUUCUUACCUAGUUCUUUCUGAUUCUAGUUUCAGCUUUGUUCAGUGGAUUUUAGAGCCAGGGCUGUUUAGGUUUGAAUCUCAUCUCUAUCCCAUAUUGUUUGCUGGGACUUCCUUAAAACAGUGUGGGGCCCAGGGCAACCCAAUGAGUAUGGGGCUAAGAUAGCUGACAGCUGCCACCGAGUCAGCAUUUUUCACAGGCCCGUUGAGAUCGCACUGAAGACAGAAAUUUCUAAAUUGAAUUUUAUUGAUGUUCAGGAAAGAGAAGUAAGUCACAACGCCCCUUCGCCCUCAGCCCCAAGCAGAGAGCCCAGAGUGUGUGACCUCAGGCAAGUGCCAAAACCUCUCUGAGCCUCAGUUCCUCAUUGUAAAUAGGGGCUAAUGUCAGUUGAUGUGAGGAGUAAAUAUCAUGAUAUCCUGGCUGGGCACAGUGGCUCACGCCUGUAAUCCCAUAACUUUGGGAGGCUGAGGUGGGUGGAUUACUUGAGGCCAGGAGUUCGAAACCAGCCUGGCCAACAUGGUGAAACCCCAUCUCUACCAAAGAUACAAAAAUUAGCCAGGCAUGGUGGUUCAUGCCUGUAGUCCCAGGUACUUGUGAGGCUGAGGCACAAGAAUCGCUUGAACCUGGGAGGCUGAGGUUGCAGUGAGCUGAGAUUGCGCCACUGCACUGCAGCCUACAUGACAGAGUGAGACUCUGUUCCAAAACAACAACAACAAAAAAAAAAAAAAAAAAAGGAAAAGAAAAAAAGAAAAGAAAAAGAUGAUAUCCUUAAUGCAAGUUCUGGCCUGUAGUAAGUGCUCAAAGAUGAACAGUUGUUACUAUUCUAGUUGUGGCUAAUUUUCACCCUGCCAAUUGGGCAGGUCCUUGCCUUCCAUUGCUCUUGUAAGCACUUGAAUGAGAGCCUUUCUUGUCUGAACCCCAGAUAUAUUCUUGCUUGGCAUCUGAUUGAAAUAAUAAAACUAGUGUUAAUGCACCCUCCUCUCUGGACACUGUAAUCACUGGUGUGCUCUUCAGUUCUGUUGUAGGAAGCGGUUUCUUUCCACUCUCUCUUUUUUAAAAAAUUGAUUAAAAAGUGUUGUUAUACACACGGUUUACAAUUCAAUAAAAUGAAACGGAAUGGGGAUGAAACAUAACGAACAACAGCAGUUCAUUGUCCCUAUUGUUCCCACCCUUCUGGGGAGCAGGCUUUCAGCAGAAUCUUCUGGUGCUUCUCCCCACAUCUCCUGCACGUCUCAUUGUUUGUAUUUUAUUAUUUUUUUGAGACACAGUCUCACUCUGUCACCCAGGCUGGAGUGCAGUGGUGCCAUCUUGGCUCACUGCAACCUCCCCCUCCUGGGUUCAAGCAAUGCUCCUGCCUCAGCCUCCCUACUAGCUGGGAUUACAGGCACCUGCCACCAUGCCCAGCUAAUUUGAUAUUUUUAGUAGACGCGGGGUUUCACCAUGUUGUCAAGGCUGAUCUCAAACUCCUGACCUCACGUGAUCCACCUGCCUUGGCCUCCCAAAGUGCUGGGAUUACAGGCGUGAGCCACCGCGCCCAGCUGUCUCAUAGUUUUAGACACUGUCUGUUGCCUUCCUGGUAAACCUGGCAAGGACUUAGCUCUUUUACACCCCAGCCCUGUCCAUUCUUGAGGUUUGGGUUUGCCACAAUUUGUAGAAAAUGAACAGUGUUUACAGAAUUGUGACUAUAUAAAUAUUAUUCACCACAGAGCUUAAUAAUGUGCUGUGAGGUCAGGCAUGGUGGCUCACGCCUGUAAUCCCAGCACUUCGGGAGGCCAAGGUGGGCGGAUCACCUGAGGUCGGGAGUUCAAGACCAACCUGGCCAACAUGGAGAAACCCCAUCUCUACUAAAAAUACAAAAAUUAGCCGGUGUGGUGGUGCCCCCUGUAGUCUCAGCUACUUGGGAGGCUGAGGCAGAGAAUCACUGGAACCUGGGAGGUGGAGGUUGCAGUGAGCCGAGAUCAUGCCACUGCACUCCAGCCUGGGCAACAGAGUGAGACUCUAUCUCAAAAUAUAAUAAAAUAAAAAUAAAAUACACUCUGAUGAUGGCUGCUUCCCCCAAGGGUGCCUCAAGCUCUCUCCUUUUCUUUCAGUGCCAUCUGCCAUUAUCGUGCCAUCGUUCUCUUCCAGUGCUCUGGUGGAGCAGGUGGCGCCCAGGCCCACAGUGCCCUCUCCAAGUUCUGUCCUCCAUGUGCUCAAGUUAUCCCCUAAACUUGUCACAUGUGGUCAUCCUGGAACUUUGCUUAACUGCUUCCUGGGUUGGGGCCUUUAUUUCCUGGCUCCCUUCUCUUCUUGCUUAAUUUCCCCUCCCUUUGCUGCAGCACAUACUCAGUUAAGAAUCCCUUUCUAACAUUAAAAAAAGAAAAAGAGAAUAGUUCUUGGAUCUCCUCAUGAUAGAAAUUAUAUCUUUAGGCCGGGUGUGGUGGCUCACGUGUGUAAUCCCAGCAGUUUGGGAGGCCGAGGCAGGUGGAUCACUUGAGCUCAGGAGUUCAAAACCAGCGUGAGCAACAUGGUAAAACCCUAUCUCUACAAAAAGUACAAAAAUUAGCCAGGUGUGGUUGCAUGUACCUGCAAUCCCAGCUACUCAGGAAGCUGAGGGAGGAGAAUCUCUUGAACCCAGGAGGUGGAGGUUGCAAUGAGCUCUGAUCAUGCCACUGCACUCCAGCCUGGGCGACAGAGUGAGACCCUGUCUCAAAAAAAACAAAAUAAAGUUGUAUCUUUAAUAUCCAUUAACUGAAAAAUAAAAAUAAAAAUAAGGACCAAAAAUUACUAUGAGGACACACAUGCUUUUAAAUGAAUUUGUGUGUUAUUAACCACAGUAACAUCUAUGAACUUGUGAAAAACUGUUACUGGUUUAGGCUUAAGGGUUUGCCCAGUCUAGCUUCAAUGUUCAAUGGGUGGGCACGGUGGCUCACACUUUGGGAGGUGGCCAAGGCAGGCAGAUCGCUUAGUCCAGGAGUUGGAGACCAGCCUGAGCCACAUAGUGAAACCCUAUCUCUACAAAAAAUUUAAAAAUUAGCUGUGCGCGGUCACGCGCACCUGUAGUCCCAGAUAUUGGAGGGCAGUGGGGGUUGGCGCUGAGGUGGGAGGAUCACUUGAGGCCAGAAGGUCAAGGCUGCAGUGAGCCGAGGCUGAGUCACUGCACUCCAGCCUGGGUGGCACAGCAAAACUCUGUCAAAAAAACAAAACAAAACAAAACAGACAAACAAGAACCAAAGUUGGAUGCAGUGGCUCAUAUCUGUAAUCCCAACAACUCGGAAGGCUCAGGCAGGAGGAUUGCUUGAGGCCAGGAGUUCAAGGCCAGCCUGGGCAACAUGCUGAGACCCUUGCCUCUGAAAAAAUUAAAUAUUAAUAAAAACAAACCCUAGUAGCUUCAGUCUUUGAUUCUCCAUCCCUCAUUUCAUCCCUUUGUCUUCUGGUAAUAGAAUUUCCUUCUUGUUUUUCUUUUGGGAUGAGCCACCUUCGCUCCCUGGGAUUCUGCUGGGAUUGAGUUACCGCCUUCCGGGCUCAAGCGAUCCUCCCACCUCAGCCUCCCAAGUCGCUAAGACCAUAGGUGCAUGCCACCAUGCCUGGCUAAUGUUUUGUAUUUUCUGUAGAGCCGGCGUUUUGCCCUGUUGCCCAGGAGUUUUUCCUUUAAUGUUCUCCUGCUACUUACUAAUUCACUUUGUCACCCUGUGAGCUCAUAAGAGCAGAGAGAUAGCAACAGGAGCUAAAAAAACUCUAAGCUGUGAAAAAAUAUUAAAUAUGAAAUCAUGAUAGCUAUUAGCUUAAUUUGUUUUAGGCAAAUUGCAAAGUAAUUUUUUGGGAAUCAGUGUCCCACUGCAGUGAUUCCAUAUGGGGAUUCCUAAUUCCCAGUAUGUUUUUAAAAUAAUUUGUAAACACCUAGUACAAACGCAUGAUAUGAAAUUCAAGAGGUACAAAAGGGCAUACAGCCCUGCACUCUCCCAGUUUCCCUCCCCGAAGGCAACCGCCAUUACCAGUUUCUCGUGUGUGCUUCCAGAGGUAUUCUUGUCCAACAGAACUUCAGUGAUGAAAACAGUUGCCUGUGCUGCCAGUUUGGAAGCCAUUAGCCACACGGGGCAGUUGAGCACUUGAUAUGUGGCUAGUGUGUCUUAGCAGCUGACUUUAAAAAAAAUUUUUUUUUUUUUAAAGACUCAGCGUCUUGCUCUGUUUACCAGACUGGACUGCAGUGAGUGUGAACAUGGCCUCAAACUCCUAUUUAUUUAUUUUUUGAGACAGGGCCUCACUCUGUUGUCCAGGCUGGAGUGCAGUGGUGCAGUCAUAGGUCACUGCAACCUUGACCUCCUGGGCUCAAGAAAUCCUCCCACCUCAGCCUCCUAAGUUGCUGGGACUACAGAUGAAUGCCACCAUGUUUGGCUGAUUUUUACUAUUUUAAAUUUUUUGCCUGGGCGCAGUGGCUCAUGCCUGUAAUCUCAGCACUUUGGGAGGCUGAGGCGGGCAGAUCACCUGAGGUCAGGAGUUCGAGACCAGCCUGGCCAACAUGGCGAAACCUUGUCUCUACCAAAAAUACAAAAAUUUGCUGGGUAUGGUGGUGCGUGCCUGUAGUCCCAGCUACUUGGAGGCUGAGGCACGAUAAUCGCUUGAACCCAGGAGACAGAUGUUGUAAUAAGCUGAGACUGCGCCACUGCACUGCAGCCUGGGUGACAGAGUGAGACCCGUCUCAAAAAAAAUAAAAAUAAAUAAAUUUUUUGUAGAAAAGGGGCUUCACUAUGUUGCCCAGGGUGUUCUUGAACUAUUGGCCUCAAGCUAUCCUCCCACUUGGCCUCCCAAAGUGCUAGGAUUACAGGCAUGAGCCACUGUGGCCAACCUAAGUUUAUAUGUAAAUAGCCAUAUGUGGCUAGUGGCUACUGUAUCAGACCUCACAGUUCUGUACAGAUAACGCACAGUGCACAGUAGCAUACUAUACACGCCCUACUAAAUCUUGCUUUGUUCCCUUAACAGCACCUAUGCAUCUUGGAGAUAGAUUGUCCCAGUCUGCCUCAUUUUUAAAAACUGCUGCAUAAUAUCCUCUUGUAAUCCACAAAGGCAAUCCCAGACCCAGCCUGGGGGGCCAUGGGUCAUCACUUUUUACAACAAGCUCUAAAAUCUUCCACAUAUACCAUAAUCAAGGCACUUCAGAACAACCCUAGGUUCCUCAUGCCUCUACUUUUAUUAGCCUGGGCCUGACAUAGUUGGACAUUGAAUAGUCACUUCUGGGGGCUGGUGGAAAUAAUUUACCAUGAGUGACUGCCCUAAAAUAUACUCUCCACCCACGUGGCCCGUGCCUGGCAUUCACUAGUGCUGGUGGCAUUCUUUAAGGUUGCUCAUAUCUCUAAGUGGUUCUCCUUUAAAGAGCAAAGUCUCCUGGGAAAGGUGGUCAUUAAGCAGAACAUCUGGGGCUCAUCUUGCUUUUGCCCUGUUGAGAGGGGCCAAGGGACUUGGUAGAGCAGCAGGGGCUCUGACGGUGAACCUCAUUGUUUUUAAAAUUAUUCUUAAGAGGCCAGGUGCGUUGGCUCACACCUGUAGUCCCAGGACUUUGAGAAGCAGAGGCAGGAGGAUCGUUUGAGUCCAGGAGUUCAAGAUUAGACUGAGCAACACGGGGAGACCUCAUCUCUACAAAAAAUUUAAAAGAAAAUUAAUUGGGCAUCAUGGCACGAGCCUGUGGUUCCCGCUACUUGGGAGGCUGAGGUGGGAGGAUCACCUGAGCCCAGGAGGUUGAGUCUUGCAGUGAGCUGAGUUCACACCACUGUACUCGAGCCUUGAUGACAGAAUGAGACUGUCUCAAAAAAAAAAAAAUGUCCUUAAGUCCAUGUGGACCCCUGACUAGGUUUGUGCCCUAGACAGCCGUCCUCUGAGGGCAAUUCAGGUGGUGAGACUCCAGGUUUAAAUGGCCUCCACAGAAAUUUCACUAACCUGCCUUGGUGUUUGACCCUGUAUAACCCCUUUCUUCUGGAGGUCCCUUUGGGUGGCAGUAGAUACAGGAUUUGGUGUCUGACAGCUCUGGGGACAGAUCCCAGCUCCAAAUGGCAGAGUCUCUACAGAUUACAAGCCAAAUACUUAGCACUAUGUGCUGAUCUUCAGGAAGUCAGUCUAUAUUUCAUAACAAGUCACAUGGGGAUAAUGAAGGAAUGGCCUAAAAUGCUCUCAGUAAUAUUCCUGAGUCAUCCCUCAGGGCUGGGCUUGGUGUUAUGCAUGGCGGGGAAGGGAGCAGAGCUGUGUGCAGAGGAAGAUGCAGUUCUUGCCUUGUCAGGAUCCCUGACCUGAUGGCGACCCAUGGUGGAGUCUUCAUAGUGACAGACACCACUGUAAAAGCAGAUCCAGGUUGUGCAACCCUCAAAGCAGGUCUCCUCACUCACCGGGAUAGAUAGACUAUUGGCCGUACCUGCAUCCACCGCUUGCCAUGGUUUCGUUGUGGGUGGAGGAUACUUUCCUGUCCCCUGGCUUUGGGUUUGCCCACGUGGCUUGCUCUGGCCUUGGAAUGAAGCAGAAACGAAAGGCUGCCAGUUCCGAGCCCACGUCUGAAGUCGCCUUAGGUGGUUCCGCGGGCCCCGUGCGCUCCCACCUUCACCCAGAGGGCCUUCUCUGGUGCAGCCGCUGCUUCUUCAGCCUCCGCCCAAAAGGAACGGAGCCCCCUGGCCGAUCCGCAGGCCUACAGGGAGCCACAGAGCGCAGCGGCUGGACCAGCAUUCAAGCCCAAGCACAGGCCUGCGAGAACCUUGUUCGAGCCGCCGUUUAGGAUGGUUGAUUAGGACGCGUUGCAGUGGCGGUAGCUCACCAAUCCAGUGCGUGCACCCGCUCCUUUAUUAGGCUAAAGAACCAGUGGCUCCCACAGGGACCUGAUACAACAGUGCGUUAAAUAAGGAGCUUAUUGAGCUCUCAUGUCCUAAGUCAGUGGAGAAGUCCAGGGCUAGUGUGGGGGCUCCGGCGGGGGCUGUGGCCCCCAUCCGCAUGGAGCCUCCCCAUGGUUCACAGGUCUCAGUCUUCGGAGCCUUCGGCCCUGCGAGCCCGAACGGUCCACAGGGCGGCGCCAGACCCUCUUUCGAACGCCAUCCUCUUAAAGCCUCGGCUCCAACCGGUUCCACUUCUUCAGGCUCAGGAUUUUCACUCUUCUCGAAUGGGGGUGGCCCUCCCCCAAUCUUCUGAGUCGCAACAGCAUCUCCCUCCCUCCAGGACCUCAGAGCCAGAGCUGGGCGAGAGGCCCUAACCUCCGGGGUAGGGUGGAAGCGUCCCUGUGAAGGUGCAGUCCUGCCUCCCAUCCCCAGGCGCCGGGCCUCUCCCACCCUCAGCGCCCUGCUCACCUCCAGCUGAAGAUGCCAGGGCACCUCUGCUUCCUCCCUGCCCUCUCUGCAGUACCGCCGAGUGUGCAUAAAAGGGUUUAAUAUAGGCUUUGCCGGGCGCGGGGACUCCCACCUGUAAUCCCAGUACGUUGAGAGACCAAGGCGGGAGGAUCACUUGAGGCCAGGAGUUCAAAAGCAGCCUGGGCAACAAAGUGAGGCCUGUGGAAAAAAAAAAAAAAAAAAAAAAAAAAGAAUAAAAGAGGUCCCUUUUUCUGGGAGAUUGAUAUAGGGGAGUGUGAGUUAGAAGGGAGGCAUUGAGGAUCAGUCAUUUAAAGCAGCAUCCAAGGAUGUUCAAGGCUAGAGAUCCACAGGUGUAUUUUCAGAAACUGAAUUUCCUGGCGGGGCACAGUGACUCAUGCCUGUAAUCCUAGCACUUUGGGAGGCCAAGGUGAGCAGAUCACUUGAGGUCAGGAGUUCAAGACUAGCCUGGCCAACAUGGUGAAACUGUUUUUAGAGAAAAAAAAAAUUGGCCAGGCAUGGUGGUGGGUGCCUGUAAUCCCAGCUAUUCGGGAGGCUGAGGCAGGAGAAUCACUGGAACCCGGAAGGCAGAGGUUGCAGUCAACCGAGAUCACGCUACUGCACUCCAGCCUGGGUGACAGAGACUGUCUCCAAAAACAAACAAACAAACACAAAAAAACCCCAAAACCCAAAACAAGCCAGGCGUGGUAGCUCGCACCUGUAAUCUCAGCCCUUUGGGAGGCCAGGGCGGGUGGAUUACCUGAGGUCAGGAGUUCGAGACCAGCCUGACCAACAUGGUGAAACCCCGUCUCUACUAAAAAUACAAAAAUUAGCCGGGCAUGGUGGCGCAUGCCUGUAACCCCAGCUACUAGGGAGGCUGAGGCAGGAGACUUGCUUGAACCCAGGAGGCAGAGGAUGCAGUGAGCUGAGAUCGUGCCAUUGCAUUCCAGACUGAGCAACAAGAGCAAAACUCCACCUUAAAAGAAAAAAAAAAGAAAAAACAAACAAAACUCCUGAAUUUCCCUGUGGAUAUCUUUUCUCUGGUAGCCUUUUUCAAUGAGGGCUAAGUUUUCUCCAAUACUAUAUGGCCUGCAGACCGCUCAGCUUUCAUUCCAGUGAAAACAUUCCAGAAAAAACUCUGAAUCAAUCCCAGGUGUUUCUCCAAUCAGCUCAGGAUGAUUGUGUGUUACCUGCUGCCCAGCUAGUGACACCUCUCCAGGCCUCUGACUUAGCUAGGUCUCCAUGUCACUCCACCGUAGACUCCCCGCCUUCUUCUUUUGCAAAGCCUCGGACACCCAAACACCUACCAAAAGUGGGUAGGGUGCCAGGACACCUCCAAGUGUAAGUGGGGCUCUCCAGCACACCUGGAUGUGGAGGUGUGAUGCAGAGUGGUGGCUGCUCGUGACACUCAUUUCACCCCUUUCUGUGCAGGUGCCAGAAGCCCAGGAAGCACACAUCAAGGCUCGCUUGCCAGCGGGGUGCUGCCAAUAAAAUGUAGUCACGUGGAAUUUGGAAUGUGGAAAGGAGGUAGAAGUCAUCCUUUCCUCCCCCAUAGCAGCAGGUGUGCAGGCUCUGGUGGUCAGCUGGACUCCAUACUCCCCCACCAGUCACCAGCCUGGGGACCGUGGGGCUGCAAGGACCUCAGCAGCGGUUUCCCAAGUUUCCUGACUUCUUCCAUCCUCUGGAAAUCAGCUGUGAGCUAUCAGCUUCCCAGUUUGCACAAUUCAUCAAGAAAUUAUGCGGGGUCACUGGCACAAAUGAUGAGGCAUCUCCUGGAAGCUUAACUUCUUAUCCAUCCCAUCUCUUGGACAGAUGAUGCCAGUUAAUUACUUUGAAUGCUGGUCUCGAACUCCUGGCUUGAAGUGAUCCUUCUGUCUUGGCCUCCCGAAAUGCUGAGAUUUCAAGCGUGAGUCAUCAUGUCUGGUCUCACAGCUCAGUUUUUAACAUAUGUAUGAAAUAUCAACUGUGUUUGGUUCAAAGGACUUUAUGAUCUUACAGAUAGGAACUAAGGAAUAAUAACGUAAGAAAUAAAAAAUGUGGAAAUAAAAAUGUUCAAUCAUAACAUGAUUAAAAGGUAAGGCACCAGGUGGGGGGUCGAAGUAAGUUCAAAUCCAAAAUAGAGACCACUGGGCUAGUAGACACUUCACAUUAGAAGCAUGGCUAGGUGUCUACUCCCUGAGAACCAAAAUUCCACCAGAUACAAUGAACAAAGCUUUAGAGAGAGAAAACAUUUGAACAUUUUACGGGCAGAAAAUGGCCCACAUACUCUAUAGACAAUACAAUUUCCUUCAAGGCAAACUAGAACUAUAAGGCUUUUGGUCUAAGAAGUGAGUGUGUGCAAGGGAUACCUUUGCAUACUAGGGAGGGGUAGACAACCCACACAUUUAGCUUGGUUAUUAAAUGUCAUUACUCAGACUUGACAGUUGAUGACCAAGGAAGUAAGACUUUCACUAGAAGGGCUGCCCAGGUUGGAAAGCUGAGAGCAAUCAGGGCCACCUCUUACAAGCAAAUAAAGGUCUGUAGUAACUUAAUUACAAUCUCAGUCUCUAAGCCUUCAGGGUUGUGAAGCAGAAAGGCAACUCUGUUCAGGGACUCGUUAAACACCAGGUUUCCUUUGGGCACAGGCUAUGACAUUUGUGCCACUGUAGAACUGAAUAGGAAAUACAAGCAGUGCCAUUCAACAGCAUGACCACUUCCAAGGCUCACAGCAAAGCAGCUGAUUAUUGUAUAAGAAUCAUAUUUGGCCAAUAUGUCAGUGCCAGAAAUGAGAGCUGGAACUGAAUUCUCGAUUCGAGAAACAUAAUCUAAUAAAUUCUUCAGCAGAGUUUAUUUAUUCAGAGAGAAAACAAUCACAACAAUAGCAUAUUUUGUCUGCUUACCUUGUAAGUAUAGUUCUGAGUUUUUACACUUGUCAUCUCAUUUUUUCUUACAAUAUCAGCAAUAAGGUUGAUUGGAUUACUAACCCCAGUUUGCAGAUAAAGAUUGCAGCUUAGAGAUAUUAAAUAUCUUCAAAUCUCUCUGGCCAUAAGACCUAAAACUGCAUACAAAAAUCUAAGAGACAGAGUUAGGACUCAAAUCCAUGUGUCCAGGGCUUAUAAUCACUAUUCUGUACGAUAGGCAUGCAAUUAAAGAAGACCUGCCUCAAACAUUUUCUGUGUGACCUGAGGCAAGUCCUUUUAUAGCUAUAAACUAGGGACAAUAUUUGCUGUCAUUUUUUCUACAAAUGUCACAAAGAACAAAUUUGAGCCUGUCGCUGUGAAAGAACUUAGCAAAUGAAAGCAUCCUAGGGAGUGUUUUAGAUAUCGAUAUUUUUAUCCAAUUAACUUUUCAAAAUGAGUUUAUUUGCUCACUGAAACUGAAGUACUUCAACGACGAUUAAGAAAGUUUUACCUAGAACCACAAUCAACAGUUUCUGGAAUGCAUCUGACAAAGCCUUCUCAAUAGCAAUCUGGGCUAUCUUCCCUUUCAUAGGAAUGACAACGGUCUUAAAUCCAACCCAAACUAAUGGAUUUAAGAUGCCUAUCUGAGUGAUCAUUGCUACAUGUUGGUUAAAAAAUAAAAAUGCAUCCACGAAUCUUAGCUCAUAAUCUUCGUGAUUAAAGGCAGACAGCACAAGGGUAUGGUUGAACGUCUCUGUUAUAGGUACAUCCUGGCAGGGCCCAUUUUUACUGCCUCCAUCUAGUUGGGAAGUUCCUAAAGUACUAGAGGGAGACAUAAGCCAAGAACCUGGCACAUAUCUCACAUCACCCAGAGAUUUAAUUCAUCAGUUAAGGCUACACUCCUAUGGACCCCACCCUCCUAUGCAUCAAGGGCUGGAAUCACUCACUGAAAAAAAGCUUUGUUGGCUGGACACGGUGGCCCAUGCCUGUAAUCCCAGCACUUUAGGAUGCCAAGGCGGGUUGAGGCCAGGAGUUCAAGAACAGCCUAGCCAACGUGGUGAAACCCCAUCUCUCCUAAAAAUACAAAAAUUAGCCGAGUGUGGUGGCACACACCUGUAAUCCCAGCUACCUGGGAGUCUGAGGCACAAGAAUAGCUUGAACCGGGAGGCGGAGGUUGCAGUGAGCCGAGAUCAUUCCACUGCACUCCAGCCUGGGUGACAGAGUAAGACUAUUUUCAAAAAGAGGCCAGGCACAGUGGCUCAUAUCUGUAAUCCCAGUACUUUGAGAGGCCAAGAUGGGCAGAUCACUUGAGGUCAGGAGUUUGAGACCAGCCUGAGCAACAUGAUGAAACCCUGUCUCUACUAAAAAAUUUUUUAAAAAUUAAAAAUUGGCUGAGUGUGGUGGUGGGCAGGAGGGAGGUGAACUGCUUGAACCUGGGAGGUGGAGGUUGCAGUGAGCCGAGAUCACACCGGUGCACUCCAGCCUGGGCGACAGAGCAAGACUCUGUCUCAAAAAAACAAAAAAGGUUUGGUACAGAUAAUCUGGCUCCUCCCUGGGCAUCAUCCAUGAAAGCCUACUCCCCUCCAUUAGCCUACAGCCCUGCCUCUGACUUCAAACCCUAAGCCUGAGGGCCAUGAAUACUAGAAAAAAAUCUCAACGUCAGUUAUCAAUUGAGUACCCUUUCUAGUAUCUCUAGUAGACUCUUGUUCCACUGAAGCCCUUCUACGAGUAAAAAAAAGGCUGAAUGGGCCGGGCGCAGUUGCUCAUGCCUGUAAUCCUAGCACUUUCAGAGGCCAAGGCAGAUGGAUCACGAGGUCAGGAGUUUGAGACCGGCCUGACCAACACAAUGAAACCCCAUCUCUACUAAAAAUACAAAGAUUAGCCAGGCAUGGUGGUGCAUGCCUGUAAUCCCAGCUACCCAGGAGUGUCAGGCAGGAGAAUCACUUGAACCUGGGAGGUGGAGGUUGCAGUGAGCCGAGAUCACACCACUGCACUCCAGCCUGCGCGACAGGGCAAGACUCUGCUUCAAAAAAAAAAAAAAGACAAUGUUUACACAAAACUUUCUGUAAAUCUUUACAUGAUGACUUGGCAUGGUGGGUGGCUCAUGCCUAUAACUCCAGCACCUUGGGAUCCUGGGGGAAGAGGAUCACUUGAGGCCAGGAGUUUGAGACCAGGCAGGACAACACAGCAAGACCCCAUCUCCAGAAAAAAUAAUUAGCCACAUGUGGUGGCACACGCCUGUAGUCCUGGCUAGUCAGGAGGCUAAGGUGGGAGGAUCCCUUGAGCCCAGCAGUUUGAGGUUGCAAUGAGCUAUGAGCAUGCUACUGCACUCUAGCCUGGGCAACAGAGCAAGACCCUGUCUCUAAAAAAUAAUAAUAAAUAGAUAAACAAAUCUUUAGAUAAUUUUGUUGGGAUAACUGAAGGCUAUAAGAGAUACAUAUUUGAAGGACUAUUUUAGACGAGAUUGGGCGCGUUCAGGGUGGUAUGGCUGUAGACUUGAAGGACUAUUUUAAUACAAAGCAAGUUCUUAACCGAAAACUGGAAAAACAUUACUUCCUUCUUCCUCCUACGCUUCUUGGCAGGAAGUACACUGUACAAUUUUAAAUUUAAAGGUUCUGGCCGGGUGGGGUGGCUCACACUUGUAAUCCCAGCACUUUGGGAGGCCAAGGCAGGCAGAUCACGAGGUCAGGAGAUCGAGACCAUCCUGGCCAACAUGGUGAAACCCCAUCUCUACUAAAAAUACAAAAAUUAGCUGGGUGUGGUGGUGGGCGCCUGUAAUCCCAGCUACUCAGGAGGCUGAGGCAGGAGAAUGCCUUGAACCCGGGAGGCGGAGGUUGCAGUGAGCCGAGAUCACGCCACUGCACUCCAGCCUGGUGACAGAGCAAGACUCUCUCUCAAAAUUAGUUAAUUAAUAAAUCAAUUUAUUAAAUAAAUUUAUUAAUUAAUAAAUCAAUGUAUUAAAUCAAUUUAUUAAAGCAAUUUAUUUACUUAUUUAAAGGCUCUGUCAGGUAUUGCCUAAGGUAAAAGUCUGUAUUGUAAGACAGAAAACCUCUGCCCAGGACUUCAGUAGCUCAGAGAGGGAAAGGCUUGAUAUGUGUCUGAAAAGACAAGUUUUAGACAGCAAGAAAAAAGAGAUCCUUCCCAUUUCAACUCCUUACCCUCCUCUACCCCCAAUGAAAACAGACCUUCCUUCGCCUUAUCCACAGGCUCCUCCACCAAGCCAAGGCCAGACUCCUGCAAUCAUAGGAUGGCAACACCACCUCUAAAGCACAGAACUUCAGGCUUUGCUUCGGAAGUGGCACCAUGGUCUCUUCAUUUUCCCUUUCUUCAAGGUCAGAAAACUGAAGCUGUUAGGAGUUUUAGUGUUAAGUUCCUUCCGAGGAUGUUAAUUAGGCUUCAAACUGUUUUGUUCUGAGAAAUAAAAACUAAACUCCAGUCAUUCAAGCUAA